rnacentral:rRNA from 1 species
UUGGAGGGCAAGUCUGGUGCCAGCAGCCGCGGUAAUUCCAGCUCCAAUAGCGUAUAUUAAAGUUGUUGCAGUUAAAAAGCUCGUAGUUGAAUUUCGGGAUCAAUGUUUCGGUCAUGCCGUUGGUAUGUACUGAUAUUAUUGAUUUCUCACCUUCUAAAGAACCGUAAUGCCAUUAAUUUGGUGUCACGGGGAAUUAGGACUGUUACCUUGAAAAAAUUAGAGUGUUUAAAGCAGGCUCACGCUUGAAUACAUUAGCAUGGAAUAAUGAAAUAGGACAUCCGAUUCUAUUUUGUUGGUUUCUAGGAUCGAUGUAAUGAUUAAUAGGGAUAGUUGGGGGCAUUAGUAUUCAAUUGUCAGAGGUGAAAUCCUUGGAUUUAUUGAAGACUAACUACUGCGAAAGCAUUUGCCAAGGAUGUUUUCAUUAAUCAAGAACGAAAGUUAGGGGAUCGAAGACGAUCAGAUACCGUCGUAGUCUUAACCAUAAACUAUGCCGACUAGGGAUCGGAUGAUGUUAAUUUUUUAAUGACUCAUUCGGCGCCUUACGGGAAAC